UGCGGGGUAGUUGCUGUUGGUAGUGACGCCUGGCUCCGGGCACCGACCGAUAAGUUGGUCGCAGGAGGCCGUUGGUUCGAUUCCAACUUCCGCAG
rnacentral:tRNA from 1 species